CUUUGAAAAUUAGCGCUUGAGACUUAAUGAUUAUUAAGAUUGCACAUGUGUAAACGUUGGUGAAUAUGAUAUGGUUGUAGAUAAUGUUAUUUUAACAGAAUCGCGAGAAGAAAAUUUAACCUGUUAACCGCUAUAGAAAACACCGUGUUUAUUCCAUCAAGCAAAUGGGCAUUUAUGAAAAUAAAAGUAUUAUUAAGUAAUUAACCAGGCAAAUUGAAACGGAUUUGAUAUUAAAUAGACCAUUUAAUACGAAAUCUUUAUUUCAUUUUAGUAUGAACUGAACACAUGACCAUGCGAAUUAUACA
rnacentral:lncRNA from 1 species